AACUCAAAGACGCAUAUAGCACAAGGAGGUGGUCAAAGAUGGGAGAGGGAGCUGCCUCAGUGUGGUGGUCAGUUACAUGAAGAGCGUUGCAAAGAGGUCAUAUCCUUAAUGAACUACACCAGUGACAGAGAAACAUCCUGGAGAAGAGGGAGACUUUUGAGUAUAGGCAGCAUCUCAUCCACAACCCAGAUGAAUCGCAUGCAGUAUUCUCUGUGUUUCCAAGGCUGCUGGAUACUAAAGGGCUGAUAUUUCAAGAUUUUAGCCUCCUCUUUGGGCCAGAAACAGCUGCCAAACUACUUAAGAAAUGGCAUACGACUUAUAAAGAAAAGGUGAUCAGAGAAGCAGGGGGAGCCUUACUUCCACCCCGAUGCUCCAAAGUUUGUUGAGGUCUGCCAGGAAUCAGUGGCAUGAGGUAUUGAAUUGAAGGACAAAUGAAAUUCAUUUUCAAACAGGUCACACGGUACUUAAAAGGUGACAUAACACAUAAAAAGAUGGUCCUUUUUGAAAGGAGACAUAUUUGUCAUGAAAACAAAACUGAGUUGUUUUUUGCUUCCUAUAGAGUGGGACAGUGAUAUGGCGUCCCUGCUGCUCGUGCAUAUCCUUCCACCUCAGCCAAGUAAAAAGAAAACACAGAAGAUCAGUGCUGCUCAGGCCAUGGACCGCCUAGUUGUGUUCCACAAGGGUCAUGCAGGAGCUUAGAAGAACAGCUAGAGAACCAAGAGGGACAUCACUAGCCAUACCUUCUCACUUCUGGAACCAGCAAGCUACAUUCUACAUUGUGCUGGACAAGAAGCUCAUCCCAUUCCAUGGAACCACGUCACUGGCGGCCUUUGAUGAACUCUUUAAAGCGCACUUUGUGUUGAGUGUCAGCUAUGACACUGCUCUAAGCAACAUGUACACAUUCCUUCAGACCACAAUCUACAGUAUUGAUGUUAACACCACUAAAGAAAGCCCAAAGGUGAAGGAAUUGAGAGCCAAGUUUAUGAACAGGAGCUAAGAGCCAAGCUCAAUGUGCUAACAAUGUGUACAUGUAGCAAUUACAGAUUGUUGCACAAUGCACCUAUUGCAGUUGCUUUACACAAUUUACAAUUAGCAUUGACAAAAUCUUUGUAGUAAAUCUACAACAUUCUGUUAGCACAAAAAUGUCACUCUCUGUCACGGGUAUUGAGUCUGGGCCUGCCAAUUCAAAAAUACUGAGUGAUGGUGAAAAUGGUUAUGUGAUUUCGUAACAUUUUGAAAUUGAUAUGUCAAGUGAAAUAAGUGUCACGACAUGGGUUAAACUUAAUGGUACUGAGUAUCACAUGAAUCUUGUUUGCACUGAGAUGCCAGUGUUCAGUAAGAUUUUAUCUUUCUGAGAAAUGAGAAAUGUAUCAGAAAUGGAGACUACAUUUG